ensembl:lncRNA
AUUUGGGCCAGGAACUCUACCACCACCUGAUAUCAUCACCACCACCACCAACAACAACAACACAAACAAAACAAAAUCUCUAAAAAACUCGAAUGCAAAAUAUUGAUUGUAAUCAGACUGCUGGGAAAACAUCGGUUUAUAAGAGCUAGAACAUGUUUCUGAGGACAGAAAGUCCUACUCAACAGACCUCCGCUGGAAAUGUACGGCAGGCACUCAGAACCUUCACUUCUGUGGACAUCCUCUCUGCCUCCUUCCACUCAAAAAUAACAAACUAAACAAAAAUCCACUUCCGGGCUGGAGAGAUGGCUCAACAGUUAGGAAUGCUUACUGCUCUUGAAGAAGACACCCAGCGCCCUCAUUGGCUGGAUCCCAAUCAUCUGUGACUCCAGCUCCAGUUCCAGGGCUCCAGGGGAUCUGAUGUCCUGUCCUGAACUCCAUAAGAACCAGGCUCACACAUCAGAGCUAUGCAGGUAAAAGAAUAUAAAAAAAGGAGGAGGAGGAGGAAGAGGAAGAGGAGGAGGACCUCAAGGUCUUGUAGGUUUUGUGAAG